UCUUUAAAUGUUCAAGGAAAUAGCAUAAACACAAGCGCAAAGAUAAUAAACAAACCAACAGAUCUCACACGCAGGUGUUACGCACGCAGCUCGAGCAUUAAAUUACAAAGAUAAACAACCUUAAUUGAAAUCCUGCACCUGUCAAAGUCAAGGGGGGAAUUCAGGAUCACAACCCUGGCCUGGGGCUCUGGAGAACCGUGUUGUGAAAGAUUAUACCAUCACCACACCGGUUAAAGACUAGGCUCCAAAUAAGGACAGGGGUAUCCAACCUCGGGCUGUGAGCUUGGUCUAUCUAGCCCAAUCUGUUUAGUAAUUUAUACUGAUUGUGAGGGGGUGUGUUGGUUGACAGCACCAUGAAACCCUGCUACCCCUGCUUUUACUUCAGGGAUUUUUCCAGGACCAGCAGGGGUUAGGCACAAUUAGCUUGGUUUGGUAGGUGGUUCUUGUUAGCCUACCUCUGAAGUACUAUAUAAGCUGCUGACAGGGGCUGGCUGUGGCCAUAGGAGAUCUGAGACUGGCAAGGGAGCCCACUCCAAGGCUUUCAACCCAGAUUGCAGGAUGGGGGGCAGAGGUGGAGUUUCUUACCAGCACAGAUAUUUUUAUGACCUCCGUUAUGUGCUUUUUUAAACCUUGAAAUGACUCAUCUCAACUGUGGCUGGAUUGACUUUGAGCGUUUGAGCAAUUUCUUCUGGACUGACCCAAGGUAAUUGACUGUGGAACCGUGUGUGAUCCUUGUUUAUUUUUUAUUACUAUUUAUUUUUAUUUCAUUUUUAAACUAUUUUUCCAAACCAUGCAGUAAUCCAGAUUGGUUUACAGACGAGAGGGACGUGAGGGUGGAGAGGGAAAAUAUUUGGCACAUGCCAUAGCGUUAAGUAGAGGCUGCAGUUUUUAGGAUUUUCUUAACACAGUUUUGAAGCCUGCCAAUUGUUACUAAGAUAUAAAACGAUAAAACACAUACUCCAAAAUGACAGCCCCCAAGCCUGGUCUACACUUAAAAUUUGGAUCAACAUAGCUAUGGCACUGUGAUGGAAUACACCCUGUGUUCACACCUACUUGCUAUUGUAGUCUUUGUACAAAGUACGCCUGGUAAGGUAUCAUUGGAAAACUCAUAAUUUGCUG
rnacentral:lncRNA from 1 species